UAUACAUGAUCUACUGAAGUGAGGUUUUUCUAAGACUAAUGGUAUUAUCAGAGAUUGUAUUAUGGGAAAGAUGGUAUUAUCUUAACAGCUAAAACUUUAAGCAAGAAGAGUGUUUAGAAACAGAAUUGUAGCCCAUGAAAUCCACUAGUUAAAUUAUAAUGAAGUUUGUGAGCUCUUCAGCAAAUCUCUCAACAGGAAUGGGACAACCCUGGUUUAUGCUUUGUGUGUUGAGAUCCCAAUAUCUCUGGUAAAUUUAGAGGUCAAAGGGGAGGAUUUUGGAGAGCAGAAGAGGGGACAGCAACUCUGCCACUUUCCUUUAAACCUAAGCAUCUGUUGCUAUGGAAACCCCGGUGCCUGGUGCUGGACCAACGGGAAUUGUCACCCUCUGUCCCGAGCAGCCGUGCUGGGCAGGAACUAGCGGGCAGAUCGGCAGUGCCGGCCUGAGCAGUGCCCCCUGUCCCCCCAGAGCAGUGCCCGCUGUCCCGACCCGAGCAGUGCCCGGUGUCCUGCUGUCCCGGCCCGAGCAGUGCCCACUGUCCCGGUGUCCCGGCCCGAGCAGUGCCCGCUGUCCCGCUGUCCCGCUGUCCCGCUGUCCCGCUGUCCCGCUGUCCCCGGCUCGGGGCUCGGGGCUCGGGCCGCGCUCGGCGCCUCCUCCUGCGCCGGGGCCGGCCCCGAGCAAAGGCCGUGGCGGGGUUCCCGCUGUGUCCCGGCCGUGGAUCCGACCCCGACCCCAACCCUGACCCUGCCCCUAACCCCGACCCCAGCCCCGGCCCCAGCCCAGCCCCGGAUCCAUCCCCGGCG
rnacentral:lncRNA from 12 species